GGAACUGAAUCUGAGACUCAACCUGCUUUAGCUGGGCUGGUAGGAGGCUCUUGCAGCCAUUUUGAGAACUUCGCCCUUGCUCCCAACCGUGCAGCCAU